rnacentral:rRNA from 1 species
UCAGUUUUCGAAAGGUGCUUGCACCUUUCAAGCGAGUGGCGAACGGGUGAGUAACACGUGGAUAACCUGCCUCAAGGCUGGGGAUAACAUUUGGAAACAGAUGCUAAUACCGAAUAAAACUUAGUAUCGCAUGAUACAAAGUUGAAAGGCGCUACGGCGUCACCUAGAGAUGGGUCCGCGGUGCAUUAGUUAGUUGGUGGGGUAAAGGCCUACCAAGACAAUGAUGCAUAGCCGAGUUGAGAGACUGAUCGGCCACAUUGGGACUGAGACACGGCCCAAACUCCUACGGGAGGCUGCAGUAGGGAAUCUUCCACAAUGGGCGAAAGCCUGAUGGAGCAACGCCGCGUGUGUGAUGAAGGCUUUAGGGUCGUAAAGCACUGUUGUAUGGGAAGAAAUGCUAGAAUAGGGAAUGAUUCUAGUUCGACGGUACCAUACCAGAAAGGGACGGCUAAAUACGUGCCAGCAGCCGCGGUAAUACGUAUGUCCCGAGCGUUAUCCGGAUUUAUUGGGCGUAAAGCGAGCGCAGACGGUUGAUUAAGUCUGAUGUGAAAGCCCGGAGCUCAACUCCGGAAUGGCAUUGGAAACUGGUUAACUUGAGUGUUGUAGAGGUAAGUGGAACUCCAUGUGUAGCGGUGGAAUGCGUAGAUAUAUGGAAGAACACCAGUGGCGAAGGCGGCUUACUGGACAACAACUGACGUUGAGGCUCGAAAGUGUGGGUAGCAAACAGGAUUAGAUACCCUGGUAGUCCACACCGUAAACGAUGAAUACUAGGUGUUAGGAGGUUUCCGCCUCUUAGUGCCGAAGCUAACGCAUUAAGUAUUCCGCCUGGGGAGUACGACCGCAAGGUUGAAACUCAAAGGAAUUGACGGGGACCCGCACAAGCGGUGGAGCAUGUGGUUUA